GAUGAACGCUAGCUGCAGGCUUUACACAUGCAAGUCGAGGGACCGGCGCACGGGUGAGUAACACGUAACCAACCUGCCCUUUACUCGGGGAUAGCCUUUAGAAAGAAAGAUUAAUACACGCUAUAAAGGAUGGGGAUGCGUUACAUUAGGUUGUUGGUGAGGUAACGGCCAACCAAGCCUUCGAUGGAUAGGGGAUCUGAGAGGAAGGUCCACUGCAAUGGAAAUGAGACACGGACCAAGAUGUUACGGGAGGCAGAAGUGAGUAAGAUUGGUCAAUGGGCGCUAGCCUGACCCAGCCAAGUGUCUGGAAGGAUGAAUGCUUAUGGGUCGUAAACUUCUUGUAUAGAAAAAUAGGUAUCUGAUGAAUAAGGAGCGGCUAACUCCGUGCCAGCAGCCGCGGUAAUAC
rnacentral:rRNA from 1 species